rnacentral:rRNA from 1 species
UACGGGGGGAGCAAGCGUUGUUCGGCUUCAUUGGGCGUAAAGGGUGCGUAGGCGGCGCGGUAAGUCGGGUGUGAAAUCUCGGAGCUUAACUCCGAAACUGCAUUCGAUACUGCCGUGCUUGAGGACUGGAGAGGAGACUGGAAUUUACGGUGUAGCGGUGAAAUGCGUAGAUAUCGUAAGGAAGACCAGUGGCGAAGGCGGGUCUCUGGACAGUUCCUGACGCUGAGGCACGAAGGUCAGGGGAGCAAACGGG